GAAAACUAUAUUACAGUAUAGAAAAUCAAGUGGAGCAGAAAACUAUAUUACAGUUAAAUUGAAUUGAUCCUUUCGAAGCGAUGGUACGCACUAUAACAUCAAUACAUCUCAUAUAAAGUAUAAUAAUUGGUAAUACUCGACGGUCCAUACAAAUACUUUUUUUAUGAGAUAGUGAGCUAGGUACUAGUGUACUGUAACGAUCACAGGAGUUACUCCCAACUAAAGUUGGUGUUAUCCAGCUUGCAGAGCCUACAAUGCAAGAUCCAUAUUCAGUGGAACAGAUUAUCAAUGCACUAGACAAAAAUGCACUUGCGCACAGAUUGAUCAUAAGUAAGUUUUCAUCCAUUAUAUAUAUUUUACUAAUUUUCAUUUGCAAUACGAUCAAAAAGAAAAAGGACUUACAUGUUCACAAUCAAAAUAGAUACAAGGUUUCUCUUUUGGGCUGUGACAACACGUGGGAGUUAGAAUUCAUGUUGUUCCAUGAAAGAGCAACUCAGCUAAUAGGAAAGCUAGCGCAUAAACUUUUGACUAUUUACGAUAAAUUCCAUAUUCCUCUAGAGAUAUCAACGCUAGUUGGCCACAAAUUUACUUUCAUUGUCAGAGUGUUGCCCAAUAAAUACAUCAAAGGGCAGGAUCCAUCAUAUGAGGUUCUAUAAUCAAGCACAAGUUUGGGAAGCAAGCAAGUAUUCCAACAUUCAAAAGAAAUGAAGAUAACAUCAUUCCUGUUGAAGUCUACCAUACAAACAAUGACCUACCACCUUUAGUUCCUAUCAUAUCUAAAUCUAUACAAGAGUAGGUGAUAUAAAAAUACAAGAACACCAACCAUCAAAUUCGAUUGUUCAAUAUUAAUCUUCAGUUUCUCCUAUCUUUUCAGGGAGCAUCAAGUUCGAUUGCUCAAUCUCCUCAAAACAUUCAAGAUAUGGAGAUCAAACAGCUAGGAUUCCAAGAUUCCACCACUUUCCUGAGCAAAAGAGACUAUGAGUGCAUAAUGAAUGACCCGAAGGAUAAUGAUGAAAAUGAGACUACACAAAGGGGUGGACCAUCAAAGAAGAUAAGGAAGUUCAGCUCUCAAGCAAAAAAGGCAAAAUAGUAACCAACUGUGCCAUACCACCAGUUCCUUUUCAUUACAGA